GAUGAAGAACGUAGCGAAAAGCGAUAAGUAAUGUGAAUUGCAGAAUUCAGUGAAUCAUCGAAUCUUUGAACGCACAUUGCGCCCCCUGGUAUUCCGGGGGGCAUGCCUGUCCGAGCGUCAUUACAACCCUCAAGCUCAGCUUGGUGUUGGGCCCCGCCGCCCCGGCGGGCCCUAAAGUCAGUGGCGGUGCCGUCCGGCUCCGAGCGUAGUAAUUCUUCUCGCUCUGGAGGUCCGGUCGUGUGCUCGCCAGCAACCCCCAAUUUUUUUCAGGUUGACCUCGGAUCAGGUAGGGAUACCCGCUGAACUUAGGCAUAUCAAUAAGCGGAGGA
rnacentral:misc_RNA from 1 species